UCCGGCUUAACGCCGGCAGUCCCGCUAGAGUCCCCGGCUUUACCCGCUGGUAACUAACGGCAAGGGUUUCGCUCGUUAAGGGACUUAACCCGACACUUCACAGCACGAGCUGACGACAGCCGUGCAACACCUGUGCAAGUUUCACUCCGAAGAGCAACCUUAUAAGUUAUCCCUAUAAGGCAUCCAAGCAUGUCAAGCCCAGGUAAGGUUCUUCGCGUUGCUUCGAAUUAAGCCACAUGCUCCACCGCUUGUGUGAGCCCCCGUCAAUUCCUUUGAGUUUUAGCCUUGCGGCCGUACUCCCCAGGCGGCACACUAAUCACUUUUGCUUCGGCGGCGGCGCCGUGAGAGGCCCCGUCACCUAGUGUGCAUCGUUUACGGCGUGGACUAC
rnacentral:misc_RNA from 1 species